rnacentral:rRNA from 1 species
GACGUAGGGAGCGAGCGUUGUCCGGAUUCAUUGGGCGUAAAGAGCGCGCAGGCGGCUUGGUAAGUCGGAUGUGAAAACCCGGAGCUCAACUCCGGGCGUGCAUCCGAUACUGCCCGGCUAGAGGUAGGUAGGGGAGAUCGGAAUUCCUGGUGUAGCGGUGGAAUGCGCAGAUAUCAGGAGGAACACCGGUGGCGAAGGCGGAUCUCUGGGCCUUACCUGACGCUCAGGCGCGAAAGCUAGGGGAGCGAACAGG